UACGUAGGGGCCUAGCGUUGUCCGGAUUUAUUGGGCGUAAAGAGCUCGUAGGCGGUUUCGUAAGUCGGAUGUGAAAACUCCAGCUCAACUUGGAGACGCCAUUCGAUACUGCGAUGACUUGAGUCCGGUAGGGGAGUGUGGAAUUCCUGGUGUAGCGGUGAAAUGCGCAGAUAUCAGGAGGAACACCGGCGGCGAAGGCGGCACUCUGGGCCGGUACUGACGCUGAGGAGCGAAAGCGUGGGUAGCAAACAGG
rnacentral:rRNA from 1 species